rnacentral:rRNA from 1 species
UAUCUUUGGUUAGUCAGUGGCGCACGGGUGAGUAAUAAAUAGAUAAUCUCCCUCUAAGACUACAAUAACACCUCGAAAGGGGUGCUAAUAGUGGAUAUAAUUCUUAAGACAUAAGUAUUGAGGAUGAAAGGUGAUGCAGGUUAUCACUUAGAGAUGAGUCUAUUUCCUAUUAGUUAGUUGGUGAGGUAAUGGCUCACCAAGACGAUGAUGGGUAGCCGACCUGAGAGGGUGUACGGCCACACUGGGACUGAGACACGGCCCAGACUCCUACGGGAGGCAGCAGUGGGGAAUCUUCCGCAAUGGGCGAAAGCCUGACGGAGCGACACCGCGUGGGGGACGAAGGUCUUCGGAUCGUAAACCCCUUUAAGGAGGGAAGAGCAAGGACGGUACCUCCUCAAAAAGCCACGGCUAACUGCGUGC